rnacentral:rRNA from 1 species
AGGACGAACGCUGGCGGCGUGCUUAACACAUGCAAGUCGAGCGGAAAGGCCCUUCGGGGUACUCGAGCGGCGAACGGGUGAGUAACACGUGAGUAAUCUGCCCCUAGCUCUGGGAUAGCUCCGGGAAACCGGGAUUAAUACCGGAUACGACCACUACGGACAUCUGUGGUGGUGGAAAGAACUUCGGCUAGGGAUGAGCUCGCAGCCUAUCAGCUUGUUGGUGGGGUAACGGCCUACCAAGGCGACGACGGGUAGCCGGCCUGAGAGGGCGACCGGCCACACUGGGACUGAGACACGGCCCAGACUCCUACGGGAGGCAGCAGUGGGGAAUAUUGCGCAAUGGGCGAAAGCCUGACGCAGCGACGCCGCGUGGGGGAUGAAGGCCUUCGGGUUGUAACCCUUUCAGCAGGGACGAAGCGAAGUGACGGUACCUGCAGAAGAAGCGCCGGCUAACUACGUGCCAGCAGCCGC